rnacentral:misc_RNA from 1 species
AUCUAAAUUUAUGAAAACUAGAAUAAUGCUAGAUUGCCUAUGAUACGUAAAAUUAAAAUACAGGGGAUCUCUCUUUCCAGUCUGCUAGGCACUUGAUCAAAACCUCCCCAAGUUUCCCUUCAUUGAUAGCCUCGUGGACUUUCUCUAUAUCCUCUCCUGGGCUCACUUUCUUUUCCCCACUAAGAAGCUCAGUCCCCACUUCACUUCUGACAAACUCAUAUAUUGGAUAAGUCCUGCAUUUCUUGAUCCUGUUUGCUAUUGCAAAUUCUCCACCAUCAAAUCUCCCUCUCGCUUUUGACACUUCUUCUUCCAGUCUUGCCUUCAAUUCCUCCAUAAAA